GCCCAGGUAGCUCAGUGGUAGAGCGCUUCCUUGGUAAGGAAGAGGUCGCGGGUUCAAUCCCCGCCCUGGGCU
rnacentral:tRNA from 1 species